AGGGAAUCUUCGGCAAUGGGGGCAACCCUGACCGAGCAACGCCGCGUGAGUGAAGAAGGUUUUCGGAUCGUAAAGCUCUGUUGUAAGUCAAGAACGAGUGUGAGAGUGGAAAGUUCACACUGUGACGGUAGCUUACCAGAAAGGGACGGCUAACUACGUGCCAGCAGCCGCGGUAAUACGUAGGUCCCGAGCGUUGUCCGGAUUUAUUGGGCGUAAAGCGAGCGCAGGCGGUUUGAUAAGUCUGAAGUUAAAGGCUGUGGCUCAACCAUAGUUCGCUUUGGAAACUGUCAAACUUGAGUGCAGAAGGGGAGAGUGGAAUUCCAUGUGUAGCGGUGAAAUGCGUAGAUAUAUGGAGGAACACCGGUGGCGAAAGCGGCUCUCUGGUCUGUAACUGACGCUGAGGCUCGAAAGCGUGGGGAGCGAACAGGAUUAGAUACCCUGGUAGUCCACGCCGUAAACGAUGAGUGCUAGGUGUUGGAUCCUUUCCGGGAUUCAGUGCCGCAGCUAACGCAUUAAGCACUCCGCCUGGGGAGUACGACCGCAAGGUUGAAACUCAAAGGAAUUGACGGGGGCCCGCACAAGCGGUGGAGCAUGUGGUUUAAUUCGAAGCAACGCGAAGAACCUUACCAGGUCUUGACAUCCCGAUGCUAUUUCUAGAGAUAGAAAGUUACUUCGGUACAUCGGUGACAGGUGGUGCAUGGUUGUCGUCAGCUCGUGUCGUGAGAUGUUGGGUUAAGUCCCGCAACGAGCGCAACCCCUAUUGUUAGUUGCCAUCAUUCAGUUGGGCACUCUAGCGAGACUGCCGGUAAUAAACCGGAGGAAGGUGGGGAUGACGUCAAAUCAUCAUGCCCCUUAUGACCUGGGCUACACACGUGCUACAAUGGUUGGUACAACGAGUUGCGAGUCGGUGACGGCAAGCUAAUCUCUUAAAGCCAAUCUCAGUUCGGAUUGUAGGCUGCAACUCGCCUACAUGAAGUCGGAAUCGCUAGUAAUCGCGGAUCAGCACGCCGCGGUGAAUACGUUCCC
rnacentral:rRNA from 1 species